rnacentral:rRNA from 1 species
UACGGAGGGAGCUAGCGUUGUUCGGAAUUACUGGGCGUAAAGCGCGCGCAGGCGGUCUUCCAAGUCAGUGGUGAAAGCCCGGAGCUCAACUCCGGAACUGCCAUUGAAACUGUGAGACUGAGUAUGAGAGAGGUGAGUGGAAUUCCCAGUGUAGAGGUAGAAAUUCGUAGAUAUCGCAAGAACACCGGUGGCGAAGGCGGCCAACUGGACCAUUACUGACGCUGAGGCGCGAAAGCGUGGGGAGCAAACAGG